rnacentral:rRNA from 1 species
CAAGUCGAGCGAGAAAAGGGGGGCAACUCCCUGAGUAAAGCGGCGCACGGGUGAGUAACACGUGGGUAAUCUGCCCUGGAGUGGGGAAUAACACCGGGAAACCGGUGCUAAUACCGCAUACGAUCACGGAGUCUGAGGAUUUUGUGAUGAAAGGAGCAAUUCGCUCUAGGAGGAGCCCGCGGCUGAUUAGCUAGUUGGUGAGGUAAUGGCUCACCAAGGCUUCGAUCAGUAUCCGGUCUGAGAGGACGGUCGGACACACUGGAACUGAGACACGGUCCAGACUCCUACGGGAGGCAGCAGUGGGGAAUUUUUCGCAAUGGGGGCAACCCUGACGAAGCAACGCCGCGUGGGUGAUGAAGUCUCUUGGGACGUAAAACCCUUUCGACGGGGAAGAAACCGCAAGGUUGACGGUACCCGUAGAAGAAGCCCCGGCUAACUCCGUGCCAGCAGCCGCGGUAAUACGGGGGGGGCAAGCGUUGUUCGGAAUUACUGGGCGUAAAGGGUGCGUAGGCGGUCCGCUAAGUUGGAUGUGAAAACUCUGGGCUUAACCCAGAGCCUGCAUUCAAAACUGACGGGCUAGAGUUCUGGAGGGGGUAGCGGAAUUCCUGGUGUAGCGGUGAAAUGCGUAGAUAUCAGGAGGAACACCGGUGGCGAAGGCGGCUACCUGGACAGAAACUGACGCUGAGGCACGAAAGCUAGGGGAGCAAACAGGAUUAGAUACCCUGGUAGUCCUAGCCCUAAACGAUGGAUACUUGGUGUGUCCGGGAUUGAAUCCGGGCGUGCCGAAGCUAACGCAUUAAGUAUCCCGCCUGGGGAGUACGGUCGCAAGGCUGAAACUCAAGGAAUUGACGGGGGCCCGCCAAGCGGUG